AAGUACCGCGAGGUAAAGA
rnacentral:snRNA from 1 species